rnacentral:lncRNA from 1 species
GGGCGGCAGCGCCGAGGGGCAGGACGCGUGGGGGGCGCUGCCCGCCCGUCUGCGGGGCCUGCGGCUGGCGGAGCAGCAGCAGCAGCAGCAGCAGCAGCAGCAGCAGCAGCAGCAGCAACAACCGCCGCCGAUACAGAGCGAGCAGCGGCCCGUGGAAACCGCCCUGCAGCGCCCCCAGCCUCCUGCACCGCCCGUCGCCUGCGCGAGGGGUUUGGGCGAGAACUUGUCCGAGUGUCUCUGCCCAACUAUCUCUCUGGGUAAAACCCUCUGUGCAUCACCUGCUUCUGGGAGACAUUGCAUCUACUCUGCCUGUAAAGGUGGGGUUUUUUUUAGGCUUGAGCUUUAAGGAUUAAUGUAUCUUAAGGUUUACCUGGCAAAUGGACAUAGACUGCUGAUACUGCAAUAUCAAACAUUAUUGUGUAUCUCCAGUUUGUAGAUUGCAG